rnacentral:lncRNA from 1 species
CAAAUUUCUUAUUGUUUGUUGUCACAAAUUGUAUAAAAAGAACAAGAGCAAACAUUUUUUGGGGGCUUCACAAACAAAUAGGGAUCUGGAGGUGGUAAUCUAGGCAAGGUAGUUGGUGCAUACAUACCUAAGGUAAUGGAUGGUGCUAUGGUUUGAAUAUUUAUCUCCUCCAAAGCUCAUGUGGAAACCAAAUCCCCAGUGUGGCAGAAUUAAGAGGUGUGGCUUCUAAGAGGUGAUUGGAUUAUGGAUUCGUGGACUAAUGGAUUAAUGGGUUGAUGUGUUACUAUGAGGGUGGCACUGGUGGCUCUAUUUAUUUAUUCAUUUAUUUAGACAGAGUCUCGCUAUGUCACCCAGGCUGGAGCGCAGUGCCAUGAUCUUGGCUCGAUGCAACCUCCACCUCCAGGGUUCAAGCGAUUCUCCUGCCUCAGCCUCCUGAGUAGCUGGGAUUACAGGCUUGAGCCACCACAGUCAGCUAAUUUGUUUGUAUUCUCAGUAGAGACAGGGUUUCACUAUGUUGGCCAGGAUGGUCUCAAACUCCUGACCUGAAGUGAUCCACCCACCUUGGCCUCCCAAAAUGCUGGGAUUACAGGUGUGAGCCAACUGGUGGCUUUAUAAGAAGAGGAAGACAGACCUGAGUUGGCAUGCUUGGUGCCCUCGCCCUGUGAUGCUUUGCACCACCUUAGGGCCCUGCAGAGUCCCCACCAGCAAGAAGGCCCUCAGCAGAUGAGGCCUCUCGACCUUGCCGUUCUCAGCCUCCAGAACUGUAAGGAAUAAAUUCCUUUUCUUUAUAAAUUACCCAGUUUCAGAUAUUCUGUUGUAAGCAACAGAAAACAGACUAAAACAGACAGAUGGCAGGUGGGUCUCAGGGGCAGACACACGGGUCUCCACUGGCCACACACUUCAGGUCCCAAAUAGAGAGGCAGAAAAGGCCAGGUGUGGUGGCUCAUGCCUAUAAUUCCAGUGAUGUGGGAGGGCUAGCAGGGAAGAUCGUUUGAACCCAGAAGUUAGAGGCUGCAGUGAGCUAGGACCUCACCACGGCACUCCAGCCUGGGUGAUAGUGUAUGUCUCUCUUAAAAAAAAAAAAAAAAAAGGAGAAGGGAAGGGGAAGGUUCAAGACAGUGGAGGCACGAGGAGCCCCAGAACUCUGUUGGGGAGACACUAAUUCGUGCACCUGCCAUCCUCCCCCAGGACCCAAAGGACCCGGGUCUGUCAUCUUCCUCGGGGCCUCCUGGAGCUGGUGCAGCCAGUGGUGGAGGCGGCCCCGGGGCCUGGGCCUUGCUGAGGCUGGAUCUGUGAGCAGAGGAGGGCGGUGUGUGAGGCGGGGCCUGGGCCACCACAGGGGAAGGAUGCUGCUCAGAGCCCACAGACCUGGGUGCCCGGGCCCCGAGGACUCACACUGGCCCCAAGCUGGGAGAGGAUGUUGUGGAGGGUGUGAAGGAGCUGGUCCAGGACAUCCCCCAGGGCCGGAUCAGCAUCAGCGGUGACCUCCAGGACCUUCAGUGUCAGGGCCAGCUCAGCCUCCAAAGUCCCAGGUCCUGGGGAAGAGGCGGGA